AUGGAAGACUUGAAGGAGGCAGAUUUGUGUGCUGCACUUGUUGUAAAGGGAGAAGAGCACCUGACUGUUGAAAUUCCAGCAAAGGUACGUGGUUUAUUGGCAGAAUUUCAGAACAUACUUGGGGAGCCACAUGGCUUGCCACCGAUGAGAGGAAUUCAACAUAGAAUUGACUUAAUUCCGGGAGCAAGUCUUCCUAAUCUUCCACACUAUCGAAUGAGCCCAAAGGAGCAUGAUAUAUUGAAGGAGAAAAUGGAGGAAUUGUUGCAAAAGGGGCACAUUCGAGAAAGUAUUAGCCCAUGUGCUGUACCAGCCCUACUCGCGCCAAAGAAAGAUGGAUCUUGGCGCAUGUGUACGGACAGUAGAGCCGUUAACAAGAUCAGCGUAAGGUAUAGGUUCCCUAUUCCCCGUCUGGAUGAUAUGUUGGAUCAGCUUAGUGGAGCAAGAGUGUUCACAAAGCUAGAUUUAAGAAGUGGAUAUCAUCAAAUCCGUAUAAGACCUGGGGAUGAAUGGAAGACCGCCUUCAAGACAAGGGAAGGGUUGUUUGAAUGGCUAGUCAUGCCAUUUGGACUCUCAAAUGCACCAAGUACCUUUAUGCACUUAAUGAAUCAAGUCCUUAGACCCUUCUUAUCCCACUUUGUUGUGGUCUAUUUCGAUGACAUCUUGAUCUAUAGCAAGGAUGAGGAUGAACACUUUGAUCACAUUCGAAAGGUGCUAGAAGUACUAAGGGAAAAUGAGCUCUACGUCAACUUGAAGAAAUGUGUUUUCCUGCAAACACAACUUCUUUUCCUAGGAUUCGUCAUAACAUGUGACGGCAUUCGUGUUGAUGAUUCUAAGGUUGAAGCAAUCCGAGAAUGGCCAACUCCUAAGACCAUUUCUGAGGUAAGAAGCUUUCAUGGCCUUGCAACUUUCUAUAGGCGAUUUGUAAAGAAUUUCAGCACUAUCAUGGCACCAAUUACCGAGUGUUUGAAGAAAGGAAAGUUCCAAUGGGCAGAAGCAGCUGAAGCUAGCUUCAAUGAGAUUAAACAAAAGCUAUCACAAGCUCCUGUCUUGGUACUACCUGAUUUCAACAAGACUUUUGAGUUGGAGUGUGAUGCAAGUGGAGUAGGCAUUGGAGCUAUCCUAUCUCAAGAAAGGAAGCCCAUUGCUUUCUUUAGUGAGAAGUUAAGUGAAGCUAGACAGAAAUGGAGUACCUAUCAGCAAGAAUUAUACGCCGUUUUCAGAGCGUUGAAAACUUGGGAAGUCUAUUUGCUGCCUAAAGAGUUCAUUGUUUAUAGCGACCAUCAAUCCUUGAAGCAUUUUAGAAAUCAAAAGCAUGUUGACCGCAUGCUAGCAAGAUGGGAAGCAUAUCUUGAGAGGUUUAACUAUCUCAUCGUGCAUAAAUCUGGAAUAACUAACAGAGUGGCCGAUGCUUUGAGUCGUCGUGCAUGCCUCUUGACUUCUUUUGAAGCUGAACUUCCGGGCAUGGGUCAAAUAAAGGAGUUGUAUGAGGGUGACGAAGACUUUGGCCAUGUUUGGGUAAAGCACGCAAGGGGCCAACCAUUAGGUGAUGACUAUUUGAUGCAAGAUGGAUAUCUCUUCAAAAAUGAUCGUUUGUGCAUUCCAAGAAGUUCUCUACGUGACAAGCUGGUUAGAGAGCUCCAUUCAAGUGAUCUUAGUGGCCAUGUUGGACGGGACAAGACUAUCGCUAACCUGGAAGCUCGCUACUUUUGGCCACAACUAAAGAGAGAUGCUGGAAAGUUCGUUCAACGGUGCCCCGUAUGUCAGACCUGCAAAGGCCAAGUCCAGAACACAGGGUUAUACAUGCCUUUGCCUGUUCCUGUUGCUCCAUGGGAGGACAUUUCUAUGGACUUCGUCUUGGGCUUGCCAAGAACAAGACGAGGAAGUGAUGCUGUAUUUGUGGUCGUGGAUAGAUUCUCUAAGAUGGCUCAUUUCAUCCCAUGCCGCAAGACAACGGAUGCUCAUCAUGUGGCAAACCUAUUCUUUCGAGAAGUGGUCAGACUUCAUGGAGUUCCAAGGUCCAUUGUCUCAGACCGUGAUAGCAAGUUUCUUGCUGCAUUUUGGCUCACUUUGUGGAAGCAAUUCAACACUGAAUUGAAAUUUUCUAGCACUGCUCAUCCACAAACAGAUGGACAAACGGAAGUGGUGAACAAGUUUUUGGGUAAUCUGAUCCGUUGCAUUUGUGGAGAAAGAAAGGGGCAAUGGGAUUUGGCUUUAUCUCUUGCAGAAUUCUCCUACAAUAACUCCAAGCAUAGAUCCACAGGAAGGAGCCCUUUUUCCAUUGUCUACACUAAAGUUCCAACACCUGUGGUGGACCUGGUGAAGCUGCCAUCAAGGGGAAACUCAAAAUCAGCAUUGUCCUUUGCUGAUAAUUACACCGAGUUAUUUGAAGAGAUUCGCGGCGCUUUGGAAGCACAAAAUCAGAAAUAUAAACAACUUGCUGAUUGCAAAAAGAGGCCAAAAACAUUCCAAGUCGGUGAUAAGGUGAUGGUCUACCUCCGAAAAGAGAGGCUGCCUUUAGGUGUUAAAGGGAAACUUAGGCAGCGAAGGUAUGGGCCCUUCUCUAUCAUGAGGAAGAUAAAUGAUAAUGCUUAUGUGAUAGAUCUUCCAAGUGACAUGGGUAUCUCCAACACUUUCAAUGUUGCGGACUUGACUCUCUACCAUCCAGAAGAAGCGCUCUAUGAAGAUAACUCGAGGGCGAGUUCCAAACAACCAGGGGAGAAUGAUGAGGAACACUAG
rnacentral:rRNA from 1 species